rnacentral:rRNA from 1 species
UACGUAGGGGGCAAGCGUUGUCCGGAUUUAUUGGGCGUAAAGAGCGUGUAGGCGGCUGGGUAGGUCCGUUGUGAAAACUCGAGGCUCAACCUCGAGACGCCGAUGGAAACCCUCCAGCUAGAGUCCGGAAGAGGAGAGUGGAAUUCCUGGUGUAGCGGUGAAAUGCGCAGAUAUCAGGAGGAAUACCGAUGGCGAAGGCAGGUCUCUGGGCUGACACUGACGCUCAUGCACGAAGGCCAGGGGAGCAAACGGG